rnacentral:sRNA from 1 species
GCUGGCAUGGUGGCUCAUGCCUGUAAUCCAAGUGACUCAGGAAGCUGAGGCAGAAGGAUCACAUAUUUGAGGCCAGCCUAGGUAACUUGAUGAGAUCCUGUCUCAA